CUCAGCCUUGUGUCCAAAUGCAACUUUGAAGGGAGAUGGAGUGAAGCUGCAGCAGUUCCUUGGCCUGUUUGUGCACUGUGUUGUCCCUCUUUGCUCAAGCCAGAGAUAACAGUAUAGGACAUGAUAAACUUCAACUAGUGUAUGUGAGAACAGCAACUAAAGGAGACUCCACAUAAAGAAAAUACUGUGUCGCAGUGGGAAAACACCAGCACCUACUUCAGCUCUGCUCUGCCAGAGCUCUCUGCCAGCGUAUGCAAAGAUUGUGCUGAAAUGCUUAAAGCUGGUGCACACCAGAAGGAAACAAAUAUGUGCAGGGAGGAGGUGGCCUGAUUCUGCUGUCCUAAUUUGCCUAAGGAAAUAUUCAUUUGAUGCCAUGUGCUUCAGGAACACCACUGAGCGAGGUGCUCGUGCUCCCCUACCAUUGCACACUACCAUCUUUGGCUUUUUUGGGAAUA
rnacentral:lncRNA from 1 species